rnacentral:rRNA from 1 species
UACGGAGGGAGCUAGCGUCGUUCGGAAUUACUGGGCGUAAAGCGCACGUAGGCGGCCAUUCAAGUCAGAGGUGAAAGCCCAGGGCUCAACCCUGGAACCGCCUUUGAAACUAGAUGGCUAGAAUCCUGGAGAGGCGAGUGGAAUUCCGAGUGUAGAGGUGAAAUUCGUAGAUAUUCGGAAGAACACCAGUGGUGAAGGCGACUCGCUGGACAGGUAUUGACGCUGAGGUGCGAAAGCGUGGGGAGCAAACAGG